rnacentral:rRNA from 1 species
GACGAACGCUGGCGGCGUGCUUAACACAUGCAAAUCGAACGGAAAGGCCUGCUUUCCCUUGUGGAUUGCGGGUACUCGAGUGGCGAACGGGUGAGUAACACGUGAGUGAUCUGCCCCCAACUUGGGUAUAAGCCUGGGAAACUGGGUCUAAUUCCCGAUAGGACUGCAGGGUGGUGCCUGUGGUGGAAAACGAUUUUCUAGUGGUUGGGGAUGAGCUCGCGGCCUAUCAGCUUGUUGGUGGGGUAAUGGCCUACCAAGGCGGCGACGGGUAGCCGGCCUGAGAGGGUGGACGGCCACAUUGGGACUGAGAUACGGCCCAGACUCCUACGGGAGGCAGCAGUGGGGAAUAUUGCACAAUGGGCGGAAGCCUGAUGCAGCGACGCCGCGUGGGGGAUGACGGCCUUCGGGUUGUAAACUCCUUUCGACCGCGAGGAAGCCACCUGGUUGGAAGGGUGGUGACGGUAGUGGUAGAAGAAGCACCGGCUAACUACGUG